CUGGGGCCUCCCGUCCGCUCCUGCCGCGUGCCAGACGCUGCCCGCCCGGGAGGCUCUGGGCGCCCGCGUUGUAACCCCCCAACCCGGGGCGGGGCAGCAGGACCCUCACGCGCCUCCUGGGGGCGCUCUCAGGCCUCGCCGUCCAUCUGGGCAGCGUUCUCAGGACCCGGAAGGCGCGACUGCAGGAGGGAGCUGCUGGGCCCAGGUGCGCGGCCCAGGUGCGCGGCCCAGGGGAAAUCAUGUUAAUGGAAAUAAGCAUAUGUCUCCAGAUCCAAAAGCCAGAACUUACGGGGCAAUGAUAAAAGAAAUCAGAGGGUGAGUACAUUUGUGAGGAUUAUCACUGAUAUGCAUUGCUCCCAUAUCUCUUUUUCCCUUUGCCCUUGGUAGGAGUCUGUUUUUGUGAGUGUGCUCUGAGUGAGUCUGCUUCUCUUAAGUAAAAAGCCGCUCUGUUUCUUUUAAACUGAAAAUCCAGGAAGCAGUGGGCAUUAGGGAGGUAUAGCUAUCAGCAGACAGGGUGGCCCCUUAACACUGACAGUGUCAGUAUUGAAGACCACUUCAAUCAUACUUUGUGACAAAACUAUAAUAUGAAACGUUGAGUGUAUAAAUAGCUCAGAUAUUGAUAUAUUCAUGCAAUUAUAGAAAAAAUUCUAGACCCCUUUAUUUAUUUACAUUUUCCAAAAAUCAUCCUGAACCUAAAUAGAACUUACAGAUUGGUAUGAUUAAUUCCCAAUAGCACACUAGUCUAACUGUAAGAUUAGUUCCUAAUAUAUCAAUAAACACUAUAGUAAGUCAUUACA
rnacentral:lncRNA from 12 species